rnacentral:rRNA from 1 species
UCAGUAACACGUAGUCAACAUGCCCAGGGGACGUGGAUAACCUCGGGAAACUGAGGAUAAACCGCGAUAGGUCACUACUUCUGGAAUGGGUAAUGACCCAAACCUACAUGGCCCCUGGAUUGGACUGCGGCCGAUCAGGCUGUUGGUGAGGUAAUGGCCCACCAAACCUGUAACCGGUACGGGCUCUGAGAGGAGGAGCCCGGAGAUGGGCACUGAGACAAGGGCCCAGGCCCUAUGGGGCGCAGCAGGCGCGAAACCUCUGCAAUAGGCGAAAGCUUGACAGGGUUACUCUGAGUGAUUUCCGUUAAGGAGAUCUUUUGGCACCUCUAAAAAUGGUGCAGAAUAAGGGGUGGGCAAGUCUGGUGUCAGCCGCCGCGGUAAUACCAGCACCCCGAGUGGUCGGGACGUUUAUUGGGCCUAAAGCAUCCGUAGCCGGUUCUACAAGUCUUCCGUUAAAUCCACCUGCUUAACAGAUGGGCUGCGGAAGAUACUAUGGAGCUAGGAGGCGGGAGAGGCAAGCGGUACUCGAUGGGUAGGGGUAAAAUCCGUUGAUCCAUUGAAGACCACCAGUGGCGAAGGCGGCUUGCCAGAACGCGCUCGACGGUGAGGGAUGAAAGCUGGGGGGAGCAAACCGGAUUA